AUACGUAGGGGGCGAGCGUUGUCCGGAAUGAUUGGGCGUAAAGGGCGCGUAGGCGGCGCGGUAAGUCUGGAGUGAAAGUCCUGCUUUCAAGGUGGGAAUUGCUUUGGAUACUGCCGCGCUUGAGUGCAGGAGAGGUUAUCGGAAUUCCCGGUGUAGCGGUGAAAUGCGUAGAGAUCGUGAGGAACACCAGUGGCGAAGGCGGGUAACUGGACUGCAACUGACGCUGAGGCGCGAAAGUGUGGGGAGCAAACAGGAUUAGAUACCCUGGUAGUCCACACUGUAAACGAUGAAUGCUAGGUGUAAGAGGUAUCGACCCCUUUUGUGCCGGAGUCAACACAAUAAGCAUUCCGCCUGGGGAGUACGGCCGCAAGGUUGAAACUCAAAGGAAUUGACGGGG
rnacentral:rRNA from 1 species